CAGAGGUCCCAAGCGUUGUUCGGAUUCACUGGGCGUAAAGGGUGCGUAGGUGGCCAGGUAAGUUCGGUGUGAAAGCUCGGAGCUUAACUCCGAAAUGGCAUUGAAUACUAUCUGGCUAGAGGGUCGGAGGGGAGACUGGAAUUCUCGGUGUAGCAGUGAAAUGCGUAGAUAUCGAGAGGAACACCAGUGGCGAAGGCGAGUCUCUGGACGACUCCUGACACUGAGGCACGAAAGCCAAGGGAGCAAACAGGAUUAGAUACCCUGGUAGUCUUGGCUGUAAACGGUGCACGUUUGCUGUAAAAGGAAUCGACCCCUUUUGUGGCGAAGCUAACGCGAUAAACGUGCCGCCUGGGGAGUACGGUCGCAAGAUUA
rnacentral:rRNA from 1 species